GAAGCAGCCACCCUUUAAAGAAAGCGUAAUAGCUCACUAGUCGAGUCGGCCUGCGCGGAAGAUGUAACGGGGCUAAAACUAUGUGCCGAAGCUGCGGAUGUAUACUUUGUAUACGUGGUAGGGGAGCGUUCUGUAAGCCGAUGAAGGUGUGUUGAGAAGCNAUGCUGGAGGUAUCAGAAGUGCGAAUGCUGACGUGAGUAACGACAAAACGGGUGAAAAACCCGUUCGCCGAAAGACCAAGGGUUCCAGUCCAACGUUAAUCGGGGCUGGGUGAGUCGACCCCUAAGGCGAGGCCGAAAGGCGUAGUCGAUGGGAAAAUGGUUAAUAUUCCAUUACUUCUGUGUAAUGCGAUGAGAGGACGGAGAAGGCUAAAUCAGCCUGGCGUUGGUUGUCCAGGUGAAAGGAUGUAGGCAUGUAUCUUAGGCAAAUCCGGGGUACUCUAUGCUGAGAUCUGAUAGCAAGCUGUACUUGUACAGCGAAGUGGUUGAUGCCAUGCUUCCAGGAAAAGUCUCUAAGCUUCAGUUACACAGGAAUCGUACCCGAAACCGACACAGGUGGUCAGGUCGAGUAGACCAAGGCGCUUGAGAGAACUCUGCUGAAGGAACUAGGCAAAAUGGUACCGUAACUUCGGGAGAAGGUACGCUGUUGUUGGUGAUGGAACUCGCUUCCUGAGCUGACGACAGCCGCAGAAACCAGGCCGCUGCAACUGUUUAUUAAAAACAUAGCACUCUGCAAACACGAAAGUGGACGUAUAGGGUGUGAUGCCUGCCCGGUGCUGGAAGGUUAAUUGAUGGGGUUAGCGUAAGCGAAGCUCUUGAUCGAAGCCCCAGUAAACGGCGGCCGUAACUAUAACGGUCCUAAGGUAGCGAAAUUCCUUGUCGGGUAAGUUCCGACCUGCACGAAUGGCAUAAUGAUGGCGGCGCUGUCUCCAGCAGAGGCUCAGUGAAAUCGAAAUCGCUGUGAAGAUGCAGUGUACCCGCGGCUAGACGGAAAGACCCCGUGAACCUUUACUGCAGCUUGACACUGAACUUUGACCUUACUUGUGUAGGAUAGGUGGGAGGCUUUGAAGCUGGAACGCUAGUUCCAGUGGAGCCGUCCUUGAAAUACCACCCUGGUAAUGUUGAGGUUCUAACUCUGUCCCGUGAUCCGGGACGAGGACCGUGUCUGGUGGGUAGUUUGACUGGGGCGGUCUCCUCCUAAAGAGUAACGGAGGAGUACGAAGGUGCGCUCAGCGUGGUCGGAAAUCACGCGUAGAGUAUAAAGGCAAAAGCGCGCUUAACUGCGAGACCCACAAGUCGAGCAGGUACGAAAGUAGGUCUUAGUGAUCCGGUGGUUCUGUAUGGAAGGGCCAUCGCUCAACGGAUAAAAGGUACUCUGGGGAUAACAGGCUGAUACCGCCCAAGAGUUCAUAUCGACGGCGGUGUUUGGCACCUCGAUGUCGGCUCAUCUCAUCCUGGGGCUGAAGCAGGUCCCAAGGGUAUGGCUGUUCGCCAUUUAAAGAGGUACGCGAGCUGGGUUUAGAACGUCGUGAGACAGUUCGGUCCCUAUCUACCGUGGGCGCUGGAAAUUUGAGAGGAUCUGCUCCUAGUACGAGAGGACCAGAGUGGACGAACCUCUGGUGUACCGGUUGUGACGCCAGUCGCAUCGCCGGGUAGCUAUGUUCGGAAGGGAUAACCGCUGAAAGCAUCUAAGCGGGAAGCCUACCUCAAGAUAAGAUUUCCCUAGGACUUUAUGUCCUCUAAAGAGCCGUUCGAGACUAGGACGUUGAUAGGUUGGAUGUGGAAGCAUAGUGAUAUGUGAAGCUGACCAAUACUAAUUGCUCGUGAGGCUUGACUAUACAACACCCAAGCAGUUG
rnacentral:rRNA from 1 species